rnacentral:rRNA from 1 species
GGCGUAAGCGCGCGCAGGCGGUCUGUUAAGUCUGAUGUGAAAUCCCCGGGCUUAACCUGGGAACUGCAUUUGAAACUGGGAGGCUUGAGUCUCGUAGAGGGGGGUAGAAUUCCAUGUGUAGCGGUGAAAUGCGUAGAGAUCUGGAGGAAUACCGGUGGCGAAGGCGGCCCCCUGGACUAAGACUGACGCUCAGGUGCGAAAGCGUGGGGAGCAAACAGGAUUAGAUACCCUGGUAGUCCACGCCGUAAACGAUGUCUACUUGGAGGUUGAGCCCUUGAGGCCUGGCUUCCGGAGCUAACGCGUUAAGUCCACCGCCUGGGGAGUACGGCCGCAAGGUUAGAACUCCAAUGAAUUGGCGGGGGCCCCCACAAGCGGUGGAACAUGGGGUUUAAUUCCAUGCCACCCGAAAAACCUUACCUGGCCUUGACAUCCGGAGGACUUACCUGAGAUGCUUUGUUGUCUUCGGGAACUCUGAGACAGGUGCUGCAUGGCUGUCGUCAGCUCGUGUUGUGAAGUGUUGGGUUAAGUCCCGCAACGAGCGCAACCCUUAUCCUUUGUUGCC